ACAUGGUGCUACAUGCAGAGAAGAAGGAUAAAGUGUCAGAAAGGGAGAGAGAGUGAGAGGAGGUGCCAUGUUUCACGGAGUGUAAGGGAGGACUUCUCUGAAGCUAAACUUCAAAGUGAGAUCUGAAGACAGCAAGGAGACAUCUGGAUCCCAGGGUUCAAUCAAGAAAUUCAAGAAAAUGAAGUGAAUCCUGCAAAGGAGGCCAAGAACCAGCCCAUGAAGUUGAGAACCAAGAGAUGGUGGUCUUGGACAUCAAAAGAAGAGAGGCCACAGAGAAGAAGGAGUGAUCUGACCACUGCAUCGAAUGCUGCUGGGAGGUGGAGGAGGAUGAGCACUGAGAAGUGACUGCCAUGCAUCAGUUUGCAGCAUGAUAACCAUUGGUGGCUCUGACGGGAGUGGAGUGAUGGGGCAGAAACCUAACUGAAUGAGUUUAAGAAAUAAGGCAUAGCACCCAUCACACUGACUGAGUCAUCCGGAAAAUGUGAGAAAUCACUUAAUAAAGAGCUGCCCUGGGGAAAUGGACAGGUAAAUGGCUUUAAAUAAAAGAUUUUGUCUUACGCUUAAUUUAAUAAGAACUAUGCCCCAGUACCUUCACUAGUAAGAAAGAUAGACAGCAGAUAAGUGGAAGAGAUGAACAAGCUGUCAGCACCAGAGCAUGUAAUCUCUGUGAGCUGAAGUUUCCCUCUCCGGAUACAAAUGGGGCCAUGCCAGGGAAAGCAGCUCUCUGCUUUGCCCUGUAGAGAGGAGCAGGGACUGGGAACCAGGCCAGCCUGAUGUCGAUUCCAGAUCCAGCACUUACUAGCUGUGUGACUUUGGGGAAACUACUGAGUUUCUCUGAGUUACAUCCAGGAAACAGGGGUGACAAGGCCUAUUUAACAUGUCCAUUCUACAAAUAUAUGGGAGGUGCCAGACACCAUGUUAAAUGCUGGGGACACACAAGAAGGACCAGCUGUCAGAAACGCCACAGGCAGAGGUGAAAUGGCAAGAAGACUGGAGCAAUAGGGACUGAGCCAGUUCACAGAGGGGCUGGACAAGCUACACCAUCACAGGGGAAGAGGUGCAGCUGGCAUUUGAUGGCACGUGGUCAGGAAUCCUGGAAAAUCAGAUUCCUGUCCUGCAGAUUAUUUCUUCUCCCUUCCUCUCAGCCCCACAAAGUUCCCAUUGGAAGGAACAGGAGCCAAAUAGGAAUCGAAAUUGCACUCAAUUGCUGCACAAGUGCAGGUCUUCGGUUGGGUUGAAGCUUGAGGCUUAGACGCUAAGCUGAAUAAGAUAUCCUGCUUCCCCCCAGGCCCAAAUCCAGUUUGUGAGCUCACCAGCUUCUGGCUGGGAUUGCAUAGCAGAAAUCAGAGGUAGAGGGGAAUUAAUACAGCCAGGUUUGUACAGUAAAAUAUGGACUCAUUUACUAAGUCAACUUGCUCCUCAGCUGGAUGCAGAAAGACACAUGGACGCACAUGAUUCAUUAACGCACGGCAUGCCUGCCUACUUCUCUAUGGCACCAAAUCGGCAGUUCUCAAUGCUGAGCUUCCCAGUUAAUACUUCUUGAAAGAGAGUUGGGAAGAAGCAGCAGAGAGGACCUUAGUAGGAGUGGAGGUUAUAAUAAAUUCUCCUUUCUCCUAAAUGAAUCAGAUUAAGACUCUGAAAGCCUAGUGGGAAACACCAAAGGCUAUUCAGCCAGGUAAGUGGCAAGAUAAGAUUUGCAUCUUUAAGGAGUACAUCUGCCGGUUUUCUUCCCUCACGAUCAACCAGGAAGAAAUGUGAGAUAGAAAACUGUGAGGACACCCUAGCAUGACAGAAACUGUUUUGAUUUGUGGUGUGGGAAGUGACUGGCCUGGGGCUAGACGUGUUCUGGCUUCUAGCACUUCCUAGGAGGCUAAACUGAGCAGUGAACUGCUGGAGUUCUGCUCCUGCUUUUCUACCACCAUUUCUCUGGUCAGACAGGUGCUGUCCUCAUACCUCUGGUGCCUCAGAACUAAAAUCAGACAGAGCAGGAGCCCUGCGCUCAAAAGGAAGUGACAAAAAUAUGUAGGGACCAACUGGCCUCCUUUCCUACUCCAUCUCCUUCCAGUCCUAAGGGCUUGGAAAUUACACCCUAGGGAGUGUCUCCUCCUAAUGCACUUCUCAGUCUGGGGCAUGGGAGGAGGAGGAGAAAAGACCAGAAGUGGCCUGGCAGUUCUUUUGUAGAUUGAGCAGUGAUUGACUGUGUUUUAUGGGAGUGAGGACAGACCUGUGUUAUGACUUUAGUGAGUUCUGUGUACCCUUCCCUCAUAAAAUAUAUUAAAAAUCAUAUUUUAUAGCUGCAUUGAUAUAAAGAUGAAAAUAAUCCAGGCUGGGCCGGGCGCGGUGGCUCACGCCUGUAAUCCCAGCACUUUGGGAGGCCAAGGCGGGUGGAUCACCUGAGAUCGGGGGUUCAAGACCAGCCUGGCCAAUAUGGUGAAACCCAUCUCUACUAAAAACACAAAAAAUUAGCUGGGUGUGGUGGUGGGCACCUGUAAUCCCAGCUACUUGGGAUAAUGAAAUGGGAGAAUUGCUUGAACCCAGGAGGCGGAGGUUGCAGCGAGCCGAGAUUGUGCUACUGCACCGCAGCCUGGGCACAACAGAGCAAGACUCCAUCUCAAAAAAAAAAAAAAGAAAAAAUCCAGGCUGAAUUCGUUCAUUGUUCUAUAUUCAUUACUAUUAUACUUAUUUCUUUCUUCAGCUAGUGAAAUAAACUAGAAAUAAAACACUUCUGUGGGUGCUUAAAAAUGUUGUGGACCCUAGGCACCGUGUGUGCUGCAGCUGGUAGAUAAGCUGGGCCUGGGUGCGGACUGUGGUUUUCAGGUGCUGGAAGCUCUCUCCACCCUCAGGUUUAUUCAUUGCCAUCUCUUGAGUCUUCUGAAAUCUUCACAGACUAGAAUCUGGCCCUCCCCACACAGUUAUUGCCUGACACAUUAGCCAGUACCCUUAGGAGAAAAUGAGCCCCCAGCCCAAAUAGGCCGGCAAUUUGAAAAGCUUGUAAUAUAAGAACCAAGUAGAAGUAUUAGUUAGGAGCUUGUACUCUGAUUAAAGAACACAAUAGAUGGAUAAAUAGCAGGAUGAUUACAACCUAGAAAUGAAUUCCUAAGCCCAAAAUUGAAAUGGAAAAAAGCUCUCAAAGAGAAAAAGGAAAGAAUUAGAACACAUGCAAGGGAAGUUAGGGGA
rnacentral:lncRNA from 1 species